rnacentral:rRNA from 1 species
AUUGAACGCUGGCGGCAGGCCUAACACAUGCAAGUCGAGCGAGCGGCGGACGGGUGAGUAAUGUCUGGGAAACAGCCUGAUGGAGGGGGAUAACUACUGGAAACGGUAGCUAAUACCGCAUACCAUCAGAUGUGCCAAGAUGGGAUUAGCUAGUAGGUGGGGUAAUGGCUCACCUAGGCGACGCUCCCUAGCUGGUCUGAGAGGAUGACCAGCCACACUGGAACUGAGACACGGUCCAGACUCCUACGUGAGGCAGCAGUGGGGAAUAUUGCACAAUGGGCGCAAGCCUGAUGCAGCCAUGCCGCGUGUGUGAAGAAGGCCUUCGGGUUGUAAAGCACUUUCAGCGGGGAGGCGUUACCCGCAGAAGAAGCACCGGCUAACUCCGUGCCAGCAGCCGCGGUAAUUC